UUAGAUCACAUUCUCUGUUUUAUUCAAAGCUGAAGAAGUUAGACCAACCGUAGGUAGUUGAGAUGGAGGGAAAGAACUCCCAAGAGUUGAUCCUUUCAGCAGUAAAGCUACAUCUGGUGAUGAAUAAACGAUGAACUGGACCAAGGAGGGCCUUUGGGAGGAAUGCGUCUUCUUCCGACUGUCUGGAAUCAAUCAGCGUGCAGCCAGGUUAUCACACUCACUAGGUUGGGAGUUAUGUAUCAAUUAGUCUGUCUUAUGCUAGAAGACUGAUCAGGCAUGAGGAGUGCGGAGACAGCAUCUCCAAAGAGUAGAUGCAGAAAGAUACGUAGGCACCACAUCAUUAUAUUCAUCCUUAAAAUGUCAAGAUGUCUUCAAGCUGCAAUUGUUCUAUUGGAGCUAUAGUUCCUUCCAUAUUGGAAAAUCUCCUAGGACCAUUUGUGCCUUUAAAGCAGGAACCAAUAUUCUGAUUUUUGCUGCAAAGGCACGUGUGGUGGCUAUUAGUGGCUGCCCUGCUUGAAUUGUGAUGUGCAGGAGAAAGGCUAUUCUGAACGUCUUUUACCAGUGGAGGCUUUGUUUUGAAAAGAUUUCCUUAGCCUUUCGUCCAUGCUUAUCUUUAUUUAAUCUGGAUCUCAGUCUGAUGCCCUCUCAUUCUGAAAGGCUUCAGCAUUUUUUCUUAGUCAAUUUAAGAGCAAAGCUGGCCUGAGAGCACUGUAGGCCUGUUUCCCUUAUUACUAACUUGCCUUGAUCUUCAAGCCCUGGUUGUCCUGUGGUUGUGCUGUUGACAGUCAAGGCUGUCACUUCCAGGGUACUCCACCUCCCUUGGUGUCACCCACCAGACCAGCCUCCAGGCAGCCCAGGGAAAUCUCUGCCUGUGUAUCCACUGAGAGGUAGAGAAUCCACCGAGAGGUAGUUUGUCAUUGGUAGCUGUCAUUUCAGCCUUGGAGAUGUCUAGGGUCUUAUCCUCAUAGGGCUUUAGAGGCUUGAGACUCACUGAGGCUCACUUUUUGUUUCUCAAAGCCAUAAAAGAACUAAAUCAAACAUUAUUAACCUCUCUCUCCAGACCCUUUUUGGAAAUCUUUUCCAUAAUCCCAAGUACUUUCUUUCCAUUUUCAGUAUGAACAAAUGAUCCUACAUGUCCCUUGCCAUUGCUUCUGAAAACAUAUUUUUUUGGGAAAACAGUGUAGCAUCUUGAUGUCAUAUCUUAGUUAAAGCAGACUAAGUGACUUGAGAAGCAUGCAUUGGGCCUGUUUAGCAGGCCAUAACUCACUGGGGGGGCUGUGCCAAUAUGUGGUGUUAUUAAGACUUUUCCAUGAUUACAUUAGUGUAAGACUGUGUUAACAUUUAUGCAGCAUCACUAAAAUUUAAAUAGAGAUAAAUAUAAAAUAUUGCAAUUUAGUGUUUUGGUGGCAAGCCGACUGCUGUAUUCAAAAUGUUCUAGCUGGGCUUUUGAUGGCUCACUGGAGGGCAGUUACAGUGACAGCAUGGUAUGGCGCCAGAGCUUUUGGAAGUCAAAAGCAGGCUCCUGAACAUCAUGAAAAUGUCAAUAUUUUAUGCAAAGAGAAACUUGAUACAAGCUGGAAUUUCUCUAUACAGAUAAACUUUUCCUCAUCAACUAUUUGAGUACAUUGAGGUUCAGUUCAUAUUGGAAAGUUCCACCAGGGAUGUAUGGGAGCCUAUUUCCCCACAGCUUCACAAAUAUGCUACCAACUUUUGGACUUCUGCCAAUCUGAUAGGUGAGAAGCAAUACCUCGAUGUAGUUUUAAUUGGUCUUUCUUUUCUGAUGAGUGGCCUUGAGCGUUUUUUUCAUGCGGUUAAGCUAUUUAUAUUUCUUUUAUUCAGGAAACUGUAUGUGUCUGGCCCAUUUUUCUAUGGUUAUUAGUGUGUUUAGUCUAUAUUUUUAGAUGUCCUUUAUAUGUAUUAGGGAUAUUAAUGCUGCAUCUGUGAUAUGUUUCAAAUGUUUUGUCCAAUUUAUUAUUUUUCAAGAGCAUUUUAGACUAAACUCUCAGCUUGGAGAUUUUCAAGCCAGAAAAGGAAUAUGGUUUCCAGUCCAAAUAGCACUCUACGGCUGGCUUAAGUGAAGAAUUUUCUAGGGAAUUUUUCUCCCUUCCAUUAAAGAAAAAUUGCCUUAAUAUUCCUUUUGAAUGGAAGAUUCUCAUUUCUCUAAUUUUCCUUCUCAUGGCUGUAGGCUUUGUCUCCUGUCCCCCAACUUAGAACACCUGUUGAAACCAAAAACUCUCGGUCAUUAGGGAAUAAUAGCGUAUGUCUCCAGGACAGCUAUAACUUUCAGAGUUCCACAUCUCUUCAGAUUUGUGCUUUCCAUUGUAUUUGUCUUUAGGAUUUCUCUUACUUUGUUGCAGAGUCACCCCAUAAAGAAUAUGAAAUUGUUUUUUCCCCUGUAGUUAUGCAAAGCAGUGGGCCUACAAUUUGUCAGCUGAAUUGAGCAUUUAAAGAAAUGUUUAUUUAAUCCAUCAUCCUCAGGUAUUCUAAACCAAAAAUGCUUCUUGGGAAAUGUAAAGUACCAUUUACUAGAUACAGAAGCCUCCCAGUUCUGUUUUGUUUUAUUACUUAUUGUUUACAUUCUUAUUACAAAUAAUACAUACUCAUUGGAAGAAAAAUCAAACAAACAAUAAAAGAAAAGGUAAAGCUUCCCUAUUCUUAAGAGGCUUCAUUCCUCCCACCAAUUUUUGGCUAUUUCAGCUUUUGUCAGACCAUUUAGUUUGUACCACAUGAAACUUACCCUCUAUAAGUUGCUGUGUGUACCACAGACUUGGGUACCAUUUUUCACUCUCCAGAAGCUUUCAAUUUUAUUGGUGAAACAUGGAAAGAACAGACAUACAGACUUAGAAUUAGAUUAAAGAGUUGAAUACAGAAUUAGAUGUAUUAAAGAGACAGUUUAGGAUCCAGGCAAGUGCUAAUAAAGUUGAAAGGAAAGAACUUGUGGGCUGGAGUUAUUCAGGGAAGAAAUUAAGGAGGUAAUUGAUCACAAAGAAAAAUCAGAAGGCAGCCACAUAAACGAUGUGGAGGAGACAGGGGCAUAUCACGGAGAUAGAUGCAAAAGAAAUGCUGAAGGGACAUAUUCAUUAAGUAAAGUGGUGCCUCCCUGCCUGGAAUGAAGGUUUGGUUUCUGCAAUACUCAGGCUGGCUGGUCAGCUUAGAGCUCAUUUUCCAUUUGUCAUUAAUUGCCAUUUGAAAAAAGAAACCAGACUCUGAAUGUAUCCUGAAGAGCUAUGGCUAGCCAAUUGCCCAGGCCAAUCUUGGUUAAUUAAUAUGCUAAUUAAUUUAUAAGAUACAGAAUGGUUUGGGCACCUCCAGUGUCACUGGAGGAGUGUGAAAAAUUAGCUCCUGAAGUCAAGAGGUCAGAACUAGCUGUAGGGGUCACAUUUGAACUUUUAUUCAAAUGCUGGCAUCUCCAACAUAUGACCUCAUCCCAAUCUCUAGCCUUCUGUUCUCUGGGCCUCCUGCCAAGGGGGCUACACACUUAUUUCCAUAGCCUUCAAUUUAAAAGCGUCAAGGAGUGGUAUCUGAAUCAUUUACUAUUACAUCGUUAAAAUAGAAACAACAUUCUCCACUCAGCCCCCAUAUGCUAUCUGGAAAAACAUUUCAUUUUUUAAGUAUCAAUGUAUUUUUUUGUUUAUUUUUUUAUUCAGUAAUUAUUUCCAAGCAGUCAAUGGUAGGUCCUGUGCUAUUAUAUACUAGGGAGACAGCAAGAUUAAGGUAGAAAAUGAAUCCUAUUUUCCUAAUACCACCUAAUAGCGGUUCUCAAUGGUGAACAGGUAAUCAAAUGCAUGACUGUAAAUCAAGAUGAAUGCUAUGAAAAAGCAAAGGAAAUUUUAAAAGAAUUUAAAAAAUCUGGGAGAGAUUUUGGAAAUUUUAUUAACAUGAAUAUGUUCAGUUGUAAGUAACAGAAUAAGGAGUAACACUGGUUUUUAAAAAUCAGAAAUGAUUUACCGUCACAUAAAAGUCAGGAGUAGAUUGUUCCAAAAUCAGUACUGGCUAAACUAUAUCCUAAAGGACCUAGACUGCUUCUGCCUUUCCCUUCUGCUGCUCUCCUCAGCAUGUUGGCUUUUUGUCCUUGUGCUGUUUACUUACCUCAACUGGUCUAUGCUGGCUGCUGUAGUUCCAAGACAGCUGCAGUCAAGGCAGGAAGAGAGGGCAGGGUCUCCUUACUGUCUUUCUUUCUAUAUGAGAGCAGCAGCCUUCCCCAAAAAUCUCUCCUUAUGUCUCACUGGUCAGAACUAGGUCACCUGCCCAUCUCUAAAACAAUCUACACCCCCAGAGGAUGGGAUCACUGUGCUUGGUUUAGAUUAUGCAUGGCUCAUUUCCUGGCAUGAGGACACGGAAUCCCUUCCUGAACAUGGUGUUGCUGCCUUCACAAUAUAAAGGUUCCUUAAAAUAGAUGAAGAAAAGAGAAAUAAUUGUUUAGUAGGUAACAAUAGUGGAAAUAAAAAUCCACAGGAUUCAUUCACCAACUAAAUAACUAAAUAGGGAGAAAGAAGACUCAAAUAUCAUUCAGAAGUUUCAGGCUUGGGUUUAACUCCAACAAUCAUACUGCCAAGAAUAGAUAAAAAUAGAUUGUGGGAGGAAAACCUAGUUUGUGAGUGAGACAAAGAUGAAUUCUACUUUCUUCUUGGGUUUGAGGUGCAAUUAGACAGUCUAUUAGAUACGGAGGAUGGGACCUGAAGAAAAAGGUUGGACUUCAACAUAGACAUAGGAAUCGUCUACAGUGAAGGAGGAUCUGAAACAAUGGGAAUAAAUAGGUGGAGAAAAUGAAGAAAGAAAAGGGACAAGGCCAGAAAAGUCCUGGCGAAUAGUUAUAAUUAGGAGAUAGUAAGAAGAUGAUAUUGCCAUAAAGGGAAAAAGAGAGAGAGUAAUUAAUUGCAGGCAUACAAUGGAAGGUUUGAGAAAGAUCCAAACAGAACUCCUAGAAGUGGAAAAUAUAAUGACCACAGUGAGGAAUUCAGUAGGUAAGGUCAGUGAUUGACCAGACACGGCUGAAGAGUAAUGAAAUGAACUGGAAUACAGAAUUGAAGAAAUUA